rnacentral:lncRNA from 1 species
AGCGAAAAAGCGAACAUAGAGAAUGUUGUUACUUGAACCAGGUAAGAGGAAAUGAAAGCAUUAUUGGGUUUCAAAUUAAAGAAGUAAACAUAUAUCUAUCGAAUAUAUACAAAUCAAAAUAGCAACAAAGAAAAAGAAAUUGAAGUUAGUAACUCAAGCCAGAUAUCAAUCAGACAAAGAUCAUGUCAAUAGAUUAAAAAGACCCAGAUCUGAAAUAGAAACGGAGCCACCCAUAACACGGCACAAAUCAAAUGUGUAACCAAAAUACACAACGAUUUAAUAAAAAAACAGUGGCAUAACUUCAUAAAGUGAGGCUUACAAGUAAAGUAGAACUUGUUAGGAGGAUCAAGCCUGAGUCUUCUAGUAGGCAAUAACAAUUUGACAACAAAAAUUUAUUUAAGAAUUUCAACCCCAAAGGACGGCGGAGCAGCCGGGGGACAACAGCGAACGACAAGGGACAGCCGUCCGGUAGAAAAUGGUGAUUUUCUUUUUCUUUUUGUUUUUGUUUUUCCUUUUUGUUAAGAGGGGAGGGUGGGCGGCUGCAUUUUUUCAGACCGGAUGUACAUAGUGGAGUGAAAACCUAAGCCUUAUGGACAAAGU